rnacentral:lncRNA from 1 species
AUGAUGAUGACUUGAUUGAUGAACCAGUAGAAAUUUUUUUUACUAUUCAUCCCUGCUCUAGCCAGAGACUCUCAGAGUCAUUAUCUUAUGAGAUCACAUAGGAUGUUCUCUCCUCCUACAAGAAGUGACCGAUUCCUUAUUGUGUUGGAGCAUGAUCCUGGCUCUUCCCAUAGACCUUGGGUGCAGCGAAACCAGCAAUGAAUAGAUCUGGAGUCAUCUGGACACGAUCCAAGGCCCUUGACGAAAUCAGCCUGGUUGCUGUCUUCAUCGUCAGCCUUUCGUUCCAGAUGAAGAACGCC